CAGGCUGAUUAUGUAUCUCGACGUAUCACUUCUAACUGUGUAACGCAAAGCUAAAUUGAACACUAGAGUGUUUUUGCAAUUCCGAUUAUGUAAGACAAAAGACAGCCACAAUGCCUAGUGAUAUCGUUCUAGGCGCAAAAUUUUAUCGACAUUAUGCGACUCAAUAAAAUACACCCUUUCCCGGUACUACUUACUACGGGUGCGGCAUACUUUUGCACAUAUACGCAUUAUACUUGAUUUUGCUGUUUGUCUGUGGUGAAGUGAAGUGCCAUAGUUUCUUUGUUGGUAAACAAAGCCGUAUUAAAAUAUUAAUAAAAAAAUUGGUUUCGUUGGAUCAAAGUACUUGCUGCUAGUUUUUUGUUUUCAAUAGAAGUAAUGUAUUAAUCAUUUUAUCGUAUACAUUUUUAUUAGUGUUAAUAGUUAAUUUAUCAAAGUAAACGGCCACUUUUACAUAAAACAUUAUCUACACGAAAGUUCUUCAAAGUUUUAUCGUCUGCCUAUGAUUAAUUUAAUGGUCGUUGUGAUAAUAUGUAAAGUAUAUUUUAUAGUGUUUUGUAUAUUAAAGUUUAUCGCUUGCAACUAAAGAUGUCCGGGAAACUCAAUGAUCGCCAAUUGGAACUCUAAUUGGAGAUUGCAGAGUGCCACCCAAACUUGGCGAUGGGUUGUUUUGGAGGGCCUUUGGAAAGUCAGGCUACUAAAUAAACCUUCCGUGUUCGCGUCUGCCAGUGGCGUUGUAUCAACAUGAAGAUGUGGGCUCUAAACUUUGAGUGCCAGGGACUGACUAUGGAAGUCUCCAUGUCGCUGGUCACCAUUGAGGUGCAAAACACCUUGAAAAAAUUGGUGAUUCUGAAUCCUUCAUCUCUAUGAACGAUUCAUGAAGAAAGAAUUAAACAAACAUUUAAUGAACAGAUUUUUUAUAAGAUUAUUAUCAAUAAGAGAAAAUUGUCAAAUAUAAUUUCAUUUUAAUUUAAUAUAGUUAAUUAUGACAUCACUGUAUAUAAAGAAUAUGAUUAUUAUCAUUUGGUUAAUUUCAGUAUUACAUAGUAUUAGAUAAAAAUUUUAUUGUAAAAUUGCACAUCAAAAUAUGUUUUAUUAUCUAUUAUUAGGAGGAAAUAUUAUUUAACUAUUAUUAUUAUCCCUAAUAGCCCAGUGAAUGUGACCUCUGCCUCCAAUUCCGGAGGGUGUGGGUUCGAACCCGUUCCGGGGCACGCACCUCCAACUUUUCAGUUGUGUGCAUUUUAAGAAACUAAAUAUCACGUGUCUCAAACAGUGAAGGAAAACAUCGUGAGGAAACCUGCAUACCAAAGAAUUCUCUUAAUUCUCUGCAUAUGUGAUGUCUGCCAAUGUAAUCCAAAUAUGCUGGCCCAUAUUCGGCUCCUGUCAGAAUGAGAGGGGUUAGGCAUUGGCCUUCCCUUACCUUAUCAGCCGAUAGACGUCCACUGCUGGACAUAGGCCUCUUACAUGGACCUCCAAGCACAACGACCUUGAGCCGCGAACAUCCAACCAACCGACCAACCACGCUUUCCAGUGCGGGGUUUCCCAAGUGCGGGUAGGCACUAACCCCUCUUACUGGGGGAGACUCGAGCUCAGCAGUGAGCCGAAUAUGUGUUUAUAAUGAUGAUGAUGAUGAUGAUGAUGAUGAUGAUGAUGAUUAUUAUUUAAGUAAUUGUAAAAGAAAAAAUUGAAUACUACAUUAGUUGUUUAUCUAUACAAUUCAAUAAUUUUAAGAACAAAACAUGUGCCUACCACAUUGUAGGAAAUAAAUAAAUAAUGAUUUGAUUAAAAACAAUGUUGUUUAAUGUUAAGCAGGUAGGGCCAGGUAGUUCUUUCUAUAUUUGUGUAACAUCUAUUACUUAAAAAUAAAAAAUAUAUUAACUUG